AGUGAACGCUGGCGGUAGGCCUAACACAUGCAAGUCGAACGGCAGCACAGUAAGAGCUUGCUCUUGCGGGUGGCGAGUGGCGGACGGGCGAGGAAUACAUCGGAAUCUACUUUUUCGUGGGGGAUAACGUAGGGAAACUUACGCUAAUACCGCAUACGACCUACGGGUGAAAGCAGGGGAUCUUCGGACCUUGCGCGAUUGAAUGAGCCGAUGUCGGAUUAGCUAGUUGGCGGGGUAAAGGCCCACCAAGGCGACGAUCCGCAGCUGGUCUGAGAGGAUGAUCAGCCACACUGGAACUGAGACACGGUCCAGACUCCUACGGGAGGCAGCAGUGGGGAAUAUUGGACAAUGGGCGCAAGCCUGAUCCAGCCAUACCGCGUGGGUGAAGAAGGCCUUCGGGUUGUAAAGCCCUUUUGUUGGGAAAGAAAAGCAGCAGGUUAAUACCCCGCUGUUCUGACGGUACCCAAAGAAUAAGCACCGGCUAACUUCGUG
rnacentral:rRNA from 1 species